UACGGGGGAGCAAGCGUUGUUCGGAUUUACUGGCGUAAAGGGCGCGUAGGCGGUCAGCACAAGUCAGUUGUGAAAUCUCCGGCUUAACUCGGAAAGGUCAACUGAUACUGUGCGACUAGAGUGCAGAAGGGCAACUGGAAUUCUCGGUGUAGCGGUGAAAUGCGUAGAUAUCGAGAGGAACACCUGCGGCGAAGGCGGUUGCUGGGCU
rnacentral:rRNA from 1 species